rnacentral:tRNA from 1 species
CAGAGAAUAGUUUAUAUAAAAUAAUAAUUUUGGAGAUUAUAGAUAAAUGUUUAUUUUUCUUUGA